rnacentral:rRNA from 1 species
GACGAACGCUGGCGGCGUGCUUAACACAUGCAAGUCGAACGGAAAGGCCCUGCUUUUGUGGGGUGCUCGAGUGGCGAACGGGUGAGUAACACGUGAGUAACCUGCCCUUGACUUUGGGAUAACUUCAGGAAACUGGGGAUAAUACCGGAUAGGAGAUCCUGCUGCAUGGUGGGGGAUGGAAAGUUUCGGCGGUUGGGGAUGGACUCGCGGCUUAUCAGCUUGUUGGGGGGGUAGUGGCUUACAAAGGCUUUGACGGGUAGCCGGCCUGGGAGGGGAGCCGGGCACAUUGGGCCUGAGAUACGGCCCAGACUCCUACGUGAGGCAGCAGUGGGGAAUAUUGCACAAUGGGCGGAAGCCUGAUGCAGCAACGCCGCGUGCGGGAUGACGGCCUUCGGGUUGUAAACCGCUGUCGCCUGUGACGAAGCGUGAGUGACGGUAAUGGGUAAAGAAGCACCGGCUAACUACGUG